rnacentral:lncRNA from 10 species
CUGGGAGUGGAGGUGGGCCAGGCUGCCAGAGGGAGGCUUUGGGUGGUGCCCUUAAGAGUCUCCUUCAUGAGCUGUUUUGCACUGUGAGGUAAUACACCCAGCACCCAGAUCAAGAAAUGGAACAUAACCAGCACCCCAGAACCCUACCCUAAAAAUGUAAUUUAAAAAAAAAGAUUUUAAUAAAUAUCUUUUAGCGUGCCCUUU